rnacentral:misc_RNA from 1 species
UCUCCGUUGGUGAACCAGCGGAGGGAUCAUUACAGAGUUGCAAAACUCCCAAACCAUUGUGAACGUUACCUAUCCCGUUGCUUCGGCGGGCGGCCCGGGCCCCGUGCCCGGCGCCCCCCGGCCCCCCGUGGGCCCCCGCCGGAGGUAAACCAACCCCUUGAAUUGUGUUGCCUCUCUGAGUCUUCUGUACUGAAUAAGUCAAAACUUCCAACAACGGAUCUCUUGGUUCUG